rnacentral:tRNA from 1 species
GGGAGUAUAGCUCAGUUGUAGAGCGCAUGCUUAGCAUGCAUGGUCCUGGGUUCAAUCCCCAGUACUUCCA